GACGGGGGGGGCAAGUGUUCUUCGGAAUGACUGGGCGUAAAGGGCACGUAGGCGGUGAAUCGGGUUGAAAGUGAAAGUCGCCAAAAAGUGGCGGAAUGCUCUCGAAACCAAUUCACUUGAGUGAGACAGAGGAGAGUGGAAUUUCGUGUGUAGGGGUGAAAUGCGCAGAGUAUCGGGAAGAACACCCGUGGCGAAGGCGGUUCUCUGGGACGGUAC
rnacentral:rRNA from 1 species